UCAUUAGUUUUUUAAUUGAAAGCUAGUAUGAAUGGUUUGAUGAGAAGAUAACUUUCUAUGUUUAAAUUUUUAAAAACUUUAUUUUUAAGUUAAAAAGCUUAAAUAAUUUUAAAAGACGAGAAGACCCUAUAGAGUUUAAUUUAAUUAGAAUUUUAAUUUUUUAGAAUUUAAAAUUUAUUUUUUUAUUAAAUUUGAUUGGGGUGAUUAAAAAAUUUAAUUAACUUUUUUUAAAUUUUACCAUUAAUUUAUGAUUAAUUGAUCCAUUAAAAUGAUUAUAAGAUUAAAUUACCUUAGGGAUAACAGCGUUAUUUUUUUUUAGAGUUCAAAUCGAAAAAAAAGAUUGCGACCUCGAUGUUGGAUUAAAAUUAAUUUUAGGUGUAGGUGCUUAAA
rnacentral:rRNA from 1 species